GAGUUUGAUUCUGGCUCAGGAUGAACGCUGGCGGCGUGCUUAACACAUGCAAGUCGAACGAACGACUAUUAACAGAACCUUUCGGGGCGAAGAUGAUAGAAGUUAGUGGCGGACGGGUGCGUAACGCGUGGGUAAUCUGCCUUUGUCAAAGGAAUAACUAUUCGAAAGAAUAGCUAAAACCGUAUAAAAUAUUAAUAGGGCAUCCUAAUAAUAUCAAAACGAUAGUGGACAAAGAUGAGCCCGCGUCUGAUUAGCUAGUUGGUGAGAUAAAAGCCCACCAAGGCAACGAUCAGUAGCCGACCUGAGAGGGUGAACGGCCACAUUGGAACUGAGACACGGUCCAAACUCCUACGGGAGGCAGCAGUGGGGAAUAUUGCACAAUGGGGGGAACCCUGAUGCAGCAACGCCGCGUGAGUGAAGAAGGCAUUCGUGUCGUAAAACUCUGUA
rnacentral:rRNA from 1 species